GUUAUCUGAACCUUCGGGGAACGAUAACGGCGUCGAGCGGCGGACGGGUGAGUAAUGCCUAGGAAAUUGCCCUGAUGUGGGGGAUAACCAUUGGAAACGAUGGCUAAUACCGCAUGAUGCCUACGGGCCAAAGAGGGGGACCUUCGGGCCUCUCGCGUCAGGAUAUGCCUAGGUGGGAUUAGCUAGUUGGUGAGGUAAGGGCUCACCAAGGCGACGAUCCCUAGCUGGUCUGAGAGGAUGAUCAGCCACACUGGAACUGAGACACGGUCCAGACUCCUACGGGAGGCAGCAGUGGGGAAUAUUGCACAAUGGGCGCAAGCCUGAUGCAGCCAUGCCGCGUGUGUGAAGAAGGCCUUCGGGUUGUAAAGCACUUUCAGUCGUGAGGAAGGUGGUAUUGUUAAUAGCACUAUCAUUUGACGUUAGCGACAGAAGAAGCACCGGCUAACUCCGUGCCAGCAGCCGCGGUAAUACGGAGGGUGCGAGCGUUAAUCGGAAUUACUGGGCGUAAAGCGCAUGCAGGUGGUUUGUUAAGUCAGAUGUGAAAGCCCGGGGCUCAACCUCGGAAUAGCAUUUGAAACUGGCAGACUAGAGUACUGUAGAGGGGGGUAGAAUUUC
rnacentral:rRNA from 1 species